AAAAUCUCGUCUUCCUCCAACCUGUGCAAUCCAAGUUCUAAUGUGGAUAAAUUACAGAACGGUGCCAGCCCGUGAGCCUCUGAAAUCCAGAAAAUCCAGGUGGGAGAACAAGUGGUGGUUCUAUUGGCCAAAAGGAGCUGUUGAGGGCUGGAAGAGCUUGCUGGAAGGUCUGUACUAAAAUUCGGCCAACUGACAGAUACCGGAACUGUAUAUCUGGGGUUUUCUGGGAAGGGGCUUUUCGAGCGCAGAGGCUUCCUCCUGGGCUAGUACUUCCCACUACACCAUGACAUGAUGGUGGUUUUAGUCACCCCAGCAUCACAAUGCAAUGAUGCACAGACUCAGUCCUGGUGAACCAGCUGUAAAAUGUAGUACCUCUUUCCCUGCUGAAUGGAACUCCGAGUGGCUGGGUGCAAUACCACGGGCGUGAACACCACGGCUUUGGGCUCCAGCUGCUGCCUUCACCAUUACCCAAACCUAGUCAUAUGGAGAAACUCUGAAUUCUGUAAUUCAAUGACCCCAGGUGGUAUCCUUCACAGCCUGUCUGAUCUACAUGGACAAGCAAUCAGCACAGAACCAGCAGUGGCAAAUUGUCUUCCAUCUGGCCUAGUGCAUAUACAAGAUCUGUUCUACACUGAGAUGCAAAGAAUCAAAGGAUAUCCCUACUGAACUGAGAAGGUAGCUGGUGUGGAAUAAAUUUGUUGAGCCAAAUUAAUCCUUGGUGUAAGUGCAGCUCUCAAAGCUCCUUACAAGUGAUGUGAACUGUUACAUUCUCUUUUUAAUAGUAGUAAUAACAAUAAAUAAUAAUAAGUA